CCUACGGGUGGCAGCAGUGGGGAAUAUUGGACAAUGGGCGCAAGCCUGACCCAGCAACGCCGCGUGAGGGAAGAAGGCCCUCGGGUUGUAAACUUCUUUUAUCAAGGACGAAACAAAUGACGGUACUUGAUGAAUCAGCCGCGGCUAACUACGUGCCAGCAGCCGCGUUAAUACGUAGGUGGCAAGCGGUAUCCGGAUUUACUGGGUGUAAAGGGCGUGUAGGCGGGACUGCAAGUCAGAUGUGAAACCCCUGGGCUCAACCCAUGGCCUGCAUUUGAAACUGUAGUGCUUGAGUGUUGGAGAGGCAGGCGGAAUUCCGGGUGUAGCGGUGAAAUGCGUAGAUAUAAGGAGGAACACCAGUGGCGAAGGCGGCCUGCUGGACAAUAACUGACGUUGAGGCGCGAAAGCGUGGGGAGCAAACAGGAUUAGAUACCCGGGUAGUC
rnacentral:rRNA from 1 species